UCAAACCCUGAGAAGGGGAAAAGUAAUUUAAACCAUGUCUUUCAGAGAGCCGGUGGUUGGUGUGAAUCGGUAGAGGGUUUAAGUGAAUUCCUCCCCAGAGGGGAUCUGUCGAAACACGGUGAGAUGCAACAGAAGUUUUGCUGUUUAGUAGAUAGAUACGGGAAGAUACCCGUUAUAACAAAUGAGGGGGUCAGAUUUAUUCUGAUCAACAAGGGUGGCAACGCGGGAGAACUACCUCUCGUCCCUAAU
rnacentral:ncRNA from 1 species